AGCGAACGCUGGCGGCAGGCCUAACACAUGCAAGUCGAACGAACCUUUCGGGGUUAGUGGCGGACGGGUGAGUAACACGUGGGAACGUGCCUUUAGGUUCGGAAUAACUCAGGGAAACUUGUGCUAAUACCGAAUGUGCCCUUCGGGGGAAAGAUUAAUCGCCUUUAGAGCGGCCCGCGUCUGAUUAGCUAGUUGGUUGAGGUAAUGGCUCACCAAGGCGACGAUCAGUAGCUGGUCUGAGAGGAUGAUCAGCCACAUUGGGACUGAGACACGGCCCAAACUCCUACGGGAGGCAGCAGUGGGGAAUCUUGCGCAAUGGGUGAAAGCCUGACGCAGCCAUGCCGCGUGAAUGAUGAAGGUCUUAGGAUUGUAAAAUUCUUUCACCGGGGACGAUAAUGACGGUACCCGGAGAAGAAGCCCCGGCUAACUUCGUG
rnacentral:rRNA from 1 species